rnacentral:rRNA from 1 species
CCUACGGGAGGCAGCAGUCGAGAAUCAUUCACAAUGGGGGAAACCCUGAUGGUGCGACGCCGCGUGGGGGAAUGAAGGUCUUCGGAUUGUAAACCCCUGUCAUGUGGGAGCAAAUUAAAAAGAUAGUACCACAAGAGGAAGAGACGGCUAACUCUGUGCCAGCAGCCGCGGUAAUACAGAGGUCUCAAGCGUUGUUCGGAAUCACUGGGCGUAAAGCGUGCGUAGGCUGUUUCGUAAGUCGUGUGUGAAAGGCGCGGGCUCAACCCGCGGACGGCACAUGAUACUGCGAGACUAGAGUAAGGGAGGGGGAACCGGAAUUCGCGGUGUAGCAGUGAAAUGCGUAGAUAUCGAGAGGAACACUCGUGGCGAAGGCGGGUUCCUGGACAUUAACUGACGCUGAGGCACGAAGGCCAGGGGAGCGAAAGGGAUUAGAUACCCGUGUAGUC